rnacentral:misc_RNA from 1 species
AUUAAACAAUCUUAACAUGUAGACCUUGAUGCAUGUUUGAAAGUAAGCAAAAUAUGAAUGAUCCAAGUUGAAGCAAUAUUACAAGGAAAUAUAAGCGCAACAUCGAUAAUAGACACCACCAACCCUCGAAUCAUCUAAGAACAUGAAUGACUAUUGCGAGAUUUGAUUAACCACGACAAGAAAUUUAUUGAUACACGAAAACGACGAGGAAUACAACCAGAACACACCGUCAAGUAGUGAAGAAACAGGACGAUGUCCAGCAUGCUCG